UACGGAGGGUGCAAGCGUUACUCGGAAUCACUGGGCGUAAAGCGCGCGCAGGCGGCUUAAUAAGUUGGAUGUGAAAUCCUAUGGCUCAACCAUAGAACUGCAUCCAAAACUGUUAAGCUAGAGUCUGGGAGGGGAAGAUGGAAUUAGUUGUGUAGGGGUAAAAUCCGUAGAGAUAACUAGGAAUACCAAAAGCGAAGGCGAUCUUCUGGAACAGUACUGACGCUGAGGCGCGAAAGCGUGGGGAGCAAACAGG
rnacentral:rRNA from 1 species